rnacentral:rRNA from 1 species
CGUGGAUAAUCUGCCCUUAGGAGGAGGAUAAUCUCGAGAAAUUGAGGAUAAUACUCCAUAGGCCUAGGAUGUUGGAAUACUUCUAGGUUGAAAGCUGCGGCGCCUAAGGAUGAGUCUGCGGCCUAUCAGGCUGUAGUGAGCGUAAUGUACUCACUAACCGACGACGGGUACGGGCCUUGAGAGAGGUUGCCCGGAGAUGGACUCUGAGACACGAGUCCAGGCCCUACGGGGCGCAGCAGGCGCGAAAACUUCACAAUGCGGGAAACCGUGAUGAGGGAAUUCCAAGUGCUAGUACAUUGUACUAGCUGUUUUCAUGCCUAAAAAGCAUGGAGAGUAAGGGCUGGGUAAGACUGGUGCCAGCCGCCGCGGUAAUACCAGCAGCCCAAGUGGUGGUCGUUAUUAUUGGGCCUAAAACGUCCGUAGCCGGUUCAAUAAACUCUUUGGUAAAUCGGCCAGCUUAACUGGUCGAAUUCUGAGAGGACUGUUGGACUUGGGACCGGGAGAUGUUGAAGGUACUCCUGGGGUAGGGGUGAAAUCCUGUAAUCCUGGGGGGACCACCAGUGGCGAAGGCGUUCAACUAGAACGGAUCCGACGGUAAGGGACGAAGCCUUGGGGCACAAACGGGAUUAGAUACCCCGGUAGUCCAAGGUGUAAACGCUGCAGGCUUGGUGUUGGGGGUCCUAUGAGGGCACCCAGUGCCGGAGAGAAGUUGUUAAGCUUGCUGCCUGGGGAGUACGCUCGCAAGAGUGAAACUUAAAGGAAUUGGCGGGGGAGCACCGCAACGGGUGGAGCGUGCGGUUUAAUUGGAUUCAACGCCGGAAAACUCACCGGGAGCGACGGUUAUAUGAAGGCCAAGCUGAUGACUUUGCCCAAUUUUCCGAGAGGUGGUGCAUGGCCGUCGUCAGUUCGUACCGCAAGGCGUUCUGUUAAGUCAUAACGAACAAGACCCCUGCCCUUAAUUGCCAUACUUUCCUCAGGGAAGGUGGAACAUUAAGGGGACCGCUGGCGCUAAGUCAGAGGAAGGAGGGGGCAACGAUAGGUCCGUAUGCCCCGAAUCCCCCGGGCAACACGCGCGCUACAAAGGCUAGGACAAUGAGUUCCGAGAUCGAAAGGUCGAGGUAAUCUCCAAACCUAGUUUUAGUUCGGAUUGAGGGCUGUAAUUCGCCCUCAUGAAGGUGGAAUCCGUAGUAAUCGCGGGUCAACAUCCCGCGGUGAAUAUGCCCCUGC